UGGGGAAUAUUGCACAAUGGGCGAAAGCCUGAUGCAGCGACGCCGCGUGAGGGAUGACGGCCUUCGGGUUGUAAACCUCUUUCGCCAGGGACGAAGCGCAAGUGACGGUACCUGGAUAAGAAGCACCGGCUAACUACGUGCCAGCAGCCGCGGUAAUACGUAGGGUGCAAGCGUUGUCCGGAAUUAUUGGGCGUAAAGAGCUCGUAGGCGGUUUGUCGCGUCGGCUGUGAAAUCUGGAGGCUUAACCUUCAGCGUGCAGUCGAUACGGGCAGACUUGAGUUCGGUAGGGGAGACUGGAAUUCCUGGUGUAGCGGUGAAAUGCGCAGAUAUCAGGAGGAACACCGGUGGCGAAGGCGGGUCUCUGGGCCGAUACUGACGCUGAGGAGCGAAAGCGUGGGGAGCGAACAGGAUUAGAUACCCCCGUAGUCC
rnacentral:rRNA from 1 species